UGACCAAUGAGCAAGCUUUAUUUGAAUUUUUCUGCUUUCAAUCUCUAUCUUCAAGAAUUUAUUUAUUUUUACAAGAAUCCGUAACUGCUGCAUUAAAUAUUGUUGAUUAUUUUUUAAAUUCCUCUUUAUGAAUUUACCCAAACCUCCCACAACACCCAAUUAACGGAGAGAGAAAAUAGAGAAAACAACACGGCAAAUUAUCAGGGCAGCUUUGCGUGUUUUCUUUAACUGCAGCCUGCAACCAUUAACUUUACGUGUUUAUCAAAACUAACAACCCUUGCUUUUCUCUUCCAUUUGUAGCCCUAUCAAUUGUAAACCAUGAUGCCUCCCUAUAGUCAGCUACUCAAGAUGAUUUUAAUUUGAAAUUUGAAAUUAGUGCAUGCAAACCUUCUUGAACGAUCUAUAAAUUGGGAUGAAUGGAAGCAGUUGUUGUGCGCAUCUGGAUUCAGACUUCGGAGGAUGGCUGGCCGGAUUUCUUGAAGGCAGAGUUGGAGGAAUCUCUCACUCAUAGAGGGCUUUCCGUGUAGUAAGUUUCAUCAUGAUGCAUUCUUUUCCUUUCGGGCUUGGAUUUUUCUCCUCUCGGACUAAAUGAGACCACUUGCUCAUAAUCAAGUGUGAUCUUCAUCCUAGAUAUUUGGGACAACUUGACAUAAAAUUAAUGGCCGAGUUGCCUUUUAACAUGUACAAGUCUUUUCUAAGCAUUGAAGUGGAACUUAUGGAAGUGGUAUGAUAACACAAUGUGAAAUCAGAAGUAUAAUAGAAUUGGUGCAGGAGUCAUGUGUGAUAUAUCAAUUCGAUGUGUUUGUAGAAGCUUUAUAAUGGUGUGGGACUUAACAAACGAUCUUCAGAACAAAUGGCAAUGAUGACAACGUCGCAGUAUAAGGUGCAAAGGAGAUAGAGCAGAAACAGAUUGAUGGGCAACUAGGGAUUCUGCUAUUUGAUUUCCAACAAGCGAAUAUUGUGAUUUGUGAUGGAAGAAUUGAAAGUGGAGUUGGAGAGAAUAGCAGGUUAUGAAACACAAUAUGGUGAUAUCCAAGAAAAAUUUGAUAACAUGAAGAGUUACUUAGAGACUAUAUCAGUGCAGCUUGAUGAUUUCUUUAAUGAAAUAUUAGAAGGAAUGUAGAAGUUUCUGGUCAUGUGCUAUCAUAGGUAGAAAAAAAUUUAGAUAUAGAGAAAAGGAACUAGAAAAAAAAUGUUAAAAAAAGCACUGUCAUCUUGGUUAACGCUUUGGGUCUCAAAUUGUACAGGCUACAAGAGUUAGGCUAGAUACUAUUUUGGUGCAAAGUACUGCAAAAUCUGUGGGAUUCUUGAUUAUAGGCAUGUAUAUAAAUUAUAAUUUUAGGGACAAGUAUAAUUUUUAAUUA